GAUGAAGAACGUAGCGAAAUGCGAUAAGUAAUGCGAAUUGCAGAAUUCAGUGAAUCAUCGAAUCUUUGAACGCACAUUGCGCCCCUUGGUAUUCCGAGGGGCAUGCCUGUUCGAGCGUCAUUAUAACCCCUCAAGCUCAGCUUGGUGUUGGGGCCUGCCGCACGGGCAGCCCUUAAAAUCAGUGGCGGUGCCAUCUGGCUCUAAGCGUAGUAAUUCUUCUCGCUAUAGAGUCACGGUGGAUGCUUGCCAUUAACCCCCAAUUUUCAAUGGUUGACCUCGGAUCAGGUAGGGAUACCCGCUGAACUUAAGCAUAACAAUAAGCGGAGGA
rnacentral:misc_RNA from 1 species